rnacentral:rRNA from 1 species
GACGAACGCUGGCGGCGUGCUUAACACAUGCAAGUCGAACGGUAAGGCCCUUCGGGGUACACGAGUGGCGAACGGGUGAGUAACACGUGGGUGAUCUGCCCUGCACUUCGGGAUAAGCCUGGGAAACUGGGUCUAAUACCGGAUAGGACUCCGGACUGCAUGGUCUGGGGUGGAAAGCUUUUGCGGUGUGGGAUGGGCCCGCGGCCUAUCAGCUUGUUGGUGGGGUGAUGGCCUACCAAGGCGACGACGGGUAGCCGGCCUGAGAGGGUAACCGGCCACACUGGGACUGAGAUACGGCCCAGACUCCUACGGGAGGCAGCAGGUGGGAAUAUUGCACAAUGGGCGCAAGCCUGAGGCAGCGACGCCGCGUGAGGGAUGACGGCCUUCGGGUUGUAAACCUCUUUCAGCAUCGACGAAGCGAAAGUGACGGUAGGUGCAGAAGAAGGACCGGCCAACUACGUGCCAGCCGCCGCCGUAA